UGCCAACUGAGGAGUUUGACUGAUGAUGAGUUUAGUGCUUGUGUCACGCCCCAAAAUAUAAGGGGUUAAUUGAAAUAAAUAACUAAGAAAUUGAAUAGGCUUGAUGUUUAAGUACAACUCCCAUAUCCUAGAGGUCCUAGGUUUAAGCUACCCCUUCCCCAUUUCUUCUCCUUUUAUUUUCAGCAAGCCAGGAUAAAAA
rnacentral:lncRNA from 1 species